GAGGGUCUGGUUCCGCGCCGCAAGCGCGGAUUAAAAGGGAAACCGGUGCAAAUCCGGUACAACGGCCAUUACUGUAUUUGGCGAUACGGGCGGCAUAAGCCAUUGGUGUAAACCGAGAAGGCGCCGUCCGGGCGAUCAGCGCGCCAUAAGUCAGGAGACCUGCCGGCCUU
rnacentral:ncRNA from 1 species